GUCUUAACAAAAAUAAAAAAUAAGAUAACUCUCUAUAAAAGCUAAAGAUGGGAUGGCAACUCAAAUGUUACCCUCCCUCCAUUCUAUACCUUCUGCCCUAUAAACCACUCCUACAAAGGGCUUACGUAUGGAAGAUGUCUGGCUUAGCAUCGAAAGCAGCUACAAUAGAGUCUCCUACUUUUGCAAAAUGAAUGGAUCCUAAUCCGCUUGGUCAACUUAAACCAUUGCGGCUUGCUUUGAUGCAUUCUAUCUAAUAGUUUGGUGUGUGGAUACUGAAGCCUUGAGUGUCCCGUAUCUAUUUUUUUGAUUUCAUACCAGGGGCAGAGGCAUAAGAAUAGGAGAUUCCAUAGAUUCCAAUUCCUUAUGUUUGAGAGCCAGUACCUCGUAAGGGAUAUGAUAUCUUCCAUCCCCAGCUCCAAAAAUAAAAGUCAAGGUAAGAGUGGAAGGAGUGAAGAAAGAAAAAGAGAUGCUUUAGUCAAUGACUGAGAAAGCCCCUAAAAAUGUGCAUAGAGUCAUUCAUUCCUAAGCAAGAGUCAAUCAACCCACUAAACUAACUGAGAACGAGGUAAUGAACCGUAAGGGGUAUCCUUGCUUCAGUCAACCAGAUAGAUUUUAUGCAAUGUCUAUCCAAGGAGCUCACGAAAAAUUCCUCUAAUGAACAACCGUGUGGGGUGCAAAACUUCGAUUUGUAGGCUAUAGUAUAGAUAUAGAUUCUCGGCUAAAGCUAGCUCUGUGAUCUACUCUCUUUCUUCAAGCUCUAUGUUCUUUUCAAGCUCUAUGUUCUCUUCUCUGUGUUUAGGGUCAGCUCUCUUCUUUCGACAUAACCAUAGUCAAAAGAGUAUUUUUUCCUGUAUUUAAGGUUUCAAAUGUCAAUCCUCAUUUUUCUCCUUAGCAAUCUUGCUUAGGAUACUAAGCGUGGUCUUGUUUGUGGGCUCAGCUUGACCAGAAGGGUACUAAAAUUUUUAGUAAUCCUAAACUUUGAUUGCAUAUAUUUUUUCGAUUCGGGUACCAUUAUCUAAGACGAUAGGCUUAGGAAGACCGAUUCAAUAAAGAAGAUGAGUGUAGAUGAAGCAUAACACGCCUUUCCAUUCUAAAUUUUUUUUGUAGAAUUG
rnacentral:lncRNA from 1 species